rnacentral:rRNA from 1 species
UGGGGAAUAUUGGACAAUGGGCGCAAGCCUGAUCCAGCCAUGCCGCGUGUGUGAAGAAGGCCUUUUGGUUGUAAAGCACUUUAAGCGAGGAGGAGGCUACUUGGAUUAAUACUCUAAGAUAGUGGACGUUACUCGCAGAAUAAGCACCGGCUAACUCUGUGCCAGCAGCCGCGGUAAUACAGAGGGUGCGAGCGUUAAUCGGAUUUACUGGGCGUAAAGCGUGCGUAGGCGGCUUCUUAAGUCGGAUGUGAAAUCCCUGAGCUUAACUUAGGAAUUGCAUUCGAUACUGGGCAGCUAGAGUAUGGGAGAGGAUGGUAGAAUUCCAGGUGUAGCGGUGAAAUGCGUAGAGAUCUGGAGGAAUACCGAUGGCGAAGGCAGCCAUCUGGACUAAUACUGACGCUGAGGUACGAAAGCAUGGGGAGCAAACAGG